CCCAUCAAGGGGCGCUGCCACGGCUGCACUGCGCUGAGGCGGCGCUCCACGCGCUCUCCCCUCCCCUCCCCUCCCCUCCACACCACACCAGUCCAGGUCGCCAUCACUGUCAUGACCGCGUUGCCACCGCCGGACCCAAACCGCAAGACGCCCGCCCCGUCCAGCCGGCGUCGGCCGCAGCGCAGCUCCACCGACCCCAGCCAGCCAGCUCAGUUAGGUAUGAAGGGCAAGAUGAUUCCACUCAUGACUGUUUGGUUGAAGGAUGUGAGCACUUGGGGAGACCACAGUUCCAUAUGGCACCAAGCACACCAUUGCUAACCUAAGUGCACUGGUGGUAGAAGACCAAAAGGCACCUCAAGAAGAUGAUUGUCGCGGAAAAAUGAGAGCACAAGGAGAGCUGGGAAGCCCAAUACUCCAUCUGGCGGACAGGACCAGAUGCAUGCACACAUUGGAAUCUGCAGCGGAUAUGUAGUUUUUCCACAAUGGUAAAAUUGAACUGAUGAUAAGAAGAUGUAGAGGGGAGUAUAUAUGCAAGUCAGUUAGUUGCAUACAAGGUAAGCAUCCUGGAAGAGCUGGGAAUAUCUGUGUGAUUGAAUGAACUGCCCCAAAGUCUCGUUGCUGUCAGGGUUUCUUUCAUGGUCCUGCAGGUACCUUCAGAUCAAAAGAAGGGAGCGAAUCAAUCAAUCAUUCAGCAACCAUAUACAUGACACAAUUAUAUAUUCAGCGUUGGCUGCUAUCUCACUUGAGAGCAUGAUUCUUGAACUUGAGUAUCUCACGGAUCACGAGCCAGAAUCUGGGGCUAAGCAGGUUGCUCUUCUGGGCCAGAACACCAGAUACACCAUUGCGGCUGCCCCACUCAAAGCCUACAUCUUUGCCCGACCGCAUGCUUGCUGAGAAUGACAUGUCCGAUGGCUCCACCUCCACCCCCAGCCCUUCAAACCAUUUCAUCAUGUUUGGGCAUGUCAUCUGCAAUUAUCAACUGUUUUGUUAAAACUAGUACAAGAGUAGCAAGACACACAAAACUACACAAAUGCUAUACAUUUCUUUUAAUUUGGAUGCUGUGGAUGUGUGUAUAUCUCUUAGCAGUUCUCUCGUUCCUUCUCUCCCUUACCCUUUGGUGUCAUCUUUGUGCGCACUUCACCUCAUCUAAAACCUUUGGGUACAUGUGUAUUUUCCGCUAGCUCUACACUAAGGGUUUCAGUGGUGGCCAUUAAAACUGAUAGUUCGCAAGGUUGAA